rnacentral:rRNA from 1 species
GUAAGGAAUAUUGGACAAUGGACGCAAGUCUGAUCCAGCCAUGCCGCGUGAAGGAUUAAGGUCCUCUGGAUUGUAAACUUCUUUUAUAAGGGACGAAAAAAGGCUUUUCUAAGUCGUCUGACGGUACCUUAUGAAUAAGCACCGGCUAACUCCGUGCCAGCAGCCGCGGUAAUACGGAGGGUGCAAGCGUUAUCCGGAUUCACUGGGUUUAAAGGGUGCGUAGGCGGGCAGGUAAGUCAGUGGUGAAAUCCUAGAGCUUAACUCUAGAACUGCCAUUGAUACUAUCUGUCUUGAAUAUUGUGGAAGUAAGCGGAAUAUGUCAUGUAGCGGUGAAAUGCUUAGAUAUGACAUAGAACACCUAUUGCGAAGGCAGCUUACUACGCAUAUAUUGACGCUGAGGCACGAAAGCGUGGGGAUCAAACAGGAUUAGAUACCCCUGUAGUCC